AGCAGCCGCGGUAAUUCCAGCUCCAAUAGCGUAUAUUAAAGUUGUUGCAGUUAAAAAGCUCGUAGUUGAAUUUCGGAAUCUGUCCGUUGGUCGGGCUUAAUUGUCCGUACUGAUGUGAUGGGUUCUUACCUUCUGAAUAACCAGCAUGUCAUUAAUUUGGUGUGUUGGGGAAGCAGGACUAUUACCUUGAAAAAUUAGAGUGCUCAAAGCAGGCUAGUGCCUGAAUACAUUAGCAUGGAAUAAUAAAAUAGGACGGCAUGGUUCUAUUUUGUUGGUUUCUAGGAUCACCGUAAUGAUUAAUAGGGAUAGUUGGGGGCAUUAGUAUUCAAUUGUCAGAGGUGAAAUUCUUGGAUUUAUUGAAGACUAACUUCUGCGAAAGCAUUUUGCCAAGGAUGUUUUCAUUAAUCAAGAACGAAAGUUAGGGGAUCGAAGACGAUCAGAUACCGUCGUAGUCUUAACCAUAAACUAUGCCGACUAGGGAUCGGACGAUGUUAAUUUUAUAAUGACUCGUUC
rnacentral:rRNA from 1 species